CAGAGGAAGGACGGGCUAAGUUCGUGCCAGCAGCCGCGGUAAGACGAACCGUCCAAACGUUAUUCGGAAUCACUGGGCUUAAAGGGUGCGUAGGCGGUCCGGGAAGUUGGGUGUGAAAGCCCUCGGCUUAACCGAGGAAUUGCGUCCAAAACUGCCGGACUUGAGGGAGACAUAGGUGAGCGGAACUUAGGGUGGAGCGGUGAAAUGCGUUGAGAUCCUAUCGAACACCAGUAGGGAAAGCGGCUCACUGGUUCUCUUCUGACGCUGAGUGCACGAAAGCUAGGGGAGCGAAGAGGAUUAGAUACCCUCGUAGUCCUAGCCGUAAACGAUGAGCACUGAUUUGGAGGGUCCUCCAUAGCCUUCCAGAUGUAGCGAAAGUGUUAAGUGCUCCGCCUGGGGAGUAUGGUCGCAA
rnacentral:rRNA from 1 species